AUACGGGGGGUGCAAGCGUUACUCGGAAUCACUGGGCGUAAAGAGCGUGUAGGCGGAUUGGUAAGUUGGAUGUGAAAGCCUAUGGCUCAACCAUAGAAUUGCUUCCAAAACUGCUAGUCUAGAGUGUGGGAGAGGUAGAUGGAAUUUCGGGUGUAGGGGUAAAAUCCGUAGAGAUCAGAAGGGAUACCGAUUGCGAAGGCGAUCUACUGGAACAUAACUGACGCUGAGACGCGAAAGCGUGGGGAGCAAACAGGAUUAGAUACCCUGGUAGUCCACGCCCUAAACGAUGUACACUAGUUGUUGUGAGGCUUGACCUUGCAGUAAUGCAGUUAACACAUUAAGUGUACCGCCUGGGGAGUACGGUCGCAAGAUUAAA
rnacentral:rRNA from 1 species